rnacentral:lncRNA from 1 species
GGCAGAUCCAGGAGGAGCCGUUGGAUUCACUCUCAACCUCCGUCCGCCAGCAGGCCAUGGAGAUGCUGACCCAGCUGAGUCACAUGAGGCUGGUGCUGGGUGUGCAGGACCGGGUACAGCUGGUGAGCACGUGCGUGCACAGCGUGUUCUCGCUGCCUUCGUUGCGGGCCAUGCAGGAGCAGGACCAGGCCAAGGCCGAGGCUAUCCAGACGCUUUACCACCAGAGCCUGGAAGCCCUGCAGACCCUGCUCAAUGCCCUCUUUAUUGAAGACCCCACUCCUGCCGGACUCAAGAGCAUCUUGGAGCCCCUGGGGCCCUGGAUGAACUCAGGGAAGGACCACGAGCGCGCUCGAGCUGUGCACAGCAGCGUCUCUCUGCUGAACCACAUGCUCCUGAGCCUGCCUUUCUACAUGUCCUCAGAGUUCCCGGCACUGGGGCUUCUGCUGGGGAGGCUCAUCCUUCGUAUUGGGGAUCCUGACGAGGAGAUUGGCCAGGAGGCUCUGGACGGCAUCACCCUCCUCUACACCAUCCUGGAGUUCCAAAAACGAGCCAGAGAUAAGGAAGAGACCAACAAGAAGGAGCUGUAUGAGAGCAACAAGCGCUUCCUGGGGCCCCACAACCCUGUCAACCCACGCCAGAACAUCUUGCGUGUGAUUUUGAUUUUUGGAGACUUCUUGGGCCCCCAGCAGGUGAAGGACCUGCUGCUGGCAGCCGUGGAAGGGCUGAGUGGCGGCGUGGAGGCUCAGGGGAAGGACUCCGGGGAGACGAUGCAGCUGCCCUCAGAGGUCAUGCUCAACUCCGUGCUGAGGUGGUACCACCUCAGAACACUGGUGGUGGUAAGGCGGGGCACCAGCUGCUCUCCCGGGCAGCCCUGAGAACUCAGCUGAGCUGGGGGCGGGCAGAGAAGAGGAACCCCUCACUCCCAAGAGCAGCACCCCUGUGCCCACCCUGGCCCUCUCUCCUACCCGGUCCUCUCUCCUACCUCCACCUUCCUUCCUUCUCCUACCUUCGGCUUCUCCAAUGAGCCCUCCUUCUGUCUGCUCC